AGUGAACGCUGGCGGUAGGCCUAACACAUGCAAGUCGAACGGCAGCACGGUAAGAGCUUGCUAUUACUGGUGGCGAGUGGCGGACGGGUGAGUAAUACAUCGGCAUCUACUUUUUCGUGGGGGGUAACGUAGGGAAACGUACGCUAAUACCGCAUACGACCUACUUGUGAAAGCAGGGGAUGUUCGGACCUUGCGCGAGUGAAUGAGCCGAUGUCGGAUUAGCUAGUUGGCGGGGUAAAGGCCCACCAAGGCGACGAUCCGUAGCUGGGCUGAGAGGAUGAUCAGCCCCACUAGAACUGAGACACGGCCCAGACCCCUAUGGGAGGCAGCAGUGGGGAAUAUUGGACAAUGGGCGCAAGCCUGAUCCAGCCCUACCGCGUGGGUGAAGAAGGCACUCGGGUUGUAAAGCCCUUUUGUUGGGAAAGAAAAGCAGCAGGUUAAUACCCCGCUGUUCUGACGGUACCCAAAGAAUAAGCACCGGCUGACUUCGUG
rnacentral:rRNA from 1 species